AAGCAGUAGGUGCCAGGUCACGCA
rnacentral:siRNA from 1 species